GAUGAACGCUGGCGGCGUGCCUAAUACAUGCAAGUCGAGCGAACAGACGAGGAGCUUGCUCCUUUGACGUUAGCGGCGGACGGGUGAGUAACACGUGGGUAACCUACCUAUAAGACUGGGAUAACUUCGGGAAACCGGAGCUAAUACCGGAUAAUAUUUCGAACCGCAUGGUUCGAUAGUGAAAGAUGGCUUUGCUAUCACUUAUAGAUGGACCUGCGCCGUAUUAGCUAGUUGGUAAGGUAACGGCUUACCAAGGCAACGAUACGUAGCCGACCUGAGAGGGUGAUCGGCCACACUGGAACUGAGACACGGUCCAGACUCCUACGGGAGGCAGCAGUAGGGAAUCUUCCGCAAUGGGCGAAAGCCUGACGGAGCAACGCCGCGUGAGUGAUGAAGGUCUUCGGAUUGUAAAACUCUGUUAUUAGGGAAGAACAAACGUGUAAGUAACUAUGCACGUCUUGACGGUACCUAAUCAGAAAGCCACGGCUAACUACGUG
rnacentral:rRNA from 1 species